CCCCCUCACCCUAUAUAAUACCCAGGUUGUCAUCACUCAACACCCCCUACACUCUAAUCAUGCUUCCUUUGCAGUAUCCUAUUCCUUUACUACCCACAAGGGGCUACACACAGAGAGGAGACAAACAAGGACAGAUAAAGGGAUUAAGUUGAUUACAUCGACCCCAGUGCGUAACUGGUACUUAUUUAAUCGACCCCGAAAGGAUGAAAAGCAAAGUCGACCUCGGCGAAAUUUGAACACAGAGCCUAACUUUUCUGCCAGCUCGCCGCCUAUGCAGUAUCCUGUCCCUUAUAUUAUGACGUUUGAACAUCAAGGGUAUGUCCUGGCACUUGCCACCAUCUAUAUCUCCCUCUUCCUUUACUCAACCAUCCCCAUUUAUGUUCUGAUCCCCUCCCUAGUGAAUACGCCCAUCAUUUUGCCAGUAUCUCCAUCGUGUUGUCUCCCACCCUCUAUCUCCUUCUCCUGCAUUUCACUCAGGCUGGGUAACCAUGUAUCUCCUUUGUGGCGGCACACCUGUUUCUGUCUUCAUCCUGAUCUCUCUCUCUCUGGCCUGGUAAACUUGUACUUCCUCUACAGCAACAGACAGAUCACAACAACAGAUGCUGCCCAACACACAGAACCAAACCAGGAAGAUGCUACAGAAUUUCAACUGUGAUACAACUCCCACUGUUCCAGACAGAGUUUGUUAAAACUUGCCAAACCUGUUACUUCACAAUUUGUAAGACAUUUGCCAUGUAUUUUUAUAAGGGGUUGUAAUAAAUAAUAGUUGCUUUGAAUUU
rnacentral:lncRNA from 1 species